CCUUCGAUAGCUCAGUUGGUGGAGCAGUGGACUGUAGAUCCAUAGGUCGAUGGUUCAAAUCCGUCUCGAAGGA
rnacentral:tRNA from 1 species